CUCCCUCUUUCCCUUCGGUUGCCGUGUGUGUGCCGGACGCCUCUGGCAGGACUAACCUUGUGGCUUUUAUGUCCAACGUGCUGUGCUGUGUGUGCCUGCAGUAUCUUGUCCAAGACAAAGCUACCUUUCCUCGUGGGAAUGGACUGGCCGGGCUUUGGCAAUCUGGCCCCUCGAAAGUCUUAAGUGACCUCUUCCAACAGGGGAAGACUGAAGCAAGGGGUGCCAGAAAGAACUGGAGUUUCUGGAGAAUAAAAGCUGGAAGCGUGCCCCCGAAAAUCCCCCCGGGUGGUCAGUGGUCUGACUUGCACGGACCGGUGGCCUUGGCCAGGAGCGGUCCUGUGGGAAGUGCCUUUGCCCAGGCUGUAAUUUUAAUUUCCAUUGGAUGCUUGGCAAAGCCCCCCAGUGCCUGGCAGGAGCAGAGCGGGCUUGCAGGGAGGUAUUCACCUGGUCAGCGUCAGGAACCAUCCUAACUGAGGCCUCGGUGAGUGCUUUUUGUAUGACUGGACAGUGAAGCUGUGUGAAUGACCUGGCUAGUGCUCGGUGUACUCCUAAUUAAAGUGUCUUUUACUCUGUGUUCCCAGGCUCCCUCUUUCCCUUCGGUUGCCGUGUGUGUGCCGGACACCUCUGGCAGGACUAACCCUGUGGCUUUUAUGUCCAAUGUGCUGUGCUGUGUGCCUGCAGGACCUGGGUGAAAAGGACAUUCUCUGAGGUGCUGGGAGAAGGAGGACUCGUGCGGGCACCUCCAGAGACAGCGGGAACGGGAGUGUGCUGCGGAGAAGGAAAAUUCCAGGGGAAUUGCCACGAGAGGAAAUACUUCAGAGGGGCUUCCCUCCAGCUAAGCCCUGAAUAUGCCAGGAGGUUUCAGCCGGGAGGAAAGGAGCUGUGGAAGAAAAGCAGCCUAAAAAUAGCCAGCGGGGAUCAUCAGGUUUUCCAGGCAAGAAGAACAAGGAGAGAGAUGAGGGAAUCGGGUUCCAAUUCCUAAUGAUUUGGUGGGUGCAGGAAUGAUUUGUGUGUGUUUUCCAGUCCCUUUUGAUUCCUGAGAUGAUUUGAAAAUGAUGGCUUUAGCAAUCAACUAAAUCGGAGAUGUUGUUUUUGAGAGGAAAUGAUGCCAAAUAAAUGCAGAGUUUUGGGUCA